GGAAUUUUGCACAAUGGGCGCAAGCCUGAUGCAGCGACGCCGCGUGGGGGAUGAAUGCCUUCGGGUUGUAAACCCCUUUCAGGAGGGACGAAGCGAAAGUGACGGUACCUCCAGAAGAAGCCUCGGCCAACUACGUGCCAGCAGCCGCGGUAAUACGUAGGGGGCGAGCGUUGUCCGGAUUUAUUGGGCGUAAAGAGCUCGUAGGCGGCUCAACAACUCGGCCGUGAAAGCCUGAGGCUCAACCUCAGGACGCCGGUCGAAACUGAUGUGGCUAGGGUUCGGUAGAGGAGAGUGGAAUUCCCGGUGGAGCGGUGAAAUGCGCAGAUAUCGGGAGGAACACCAGUAGCGAAGGCGGCUCUCUGGGCCGACACCGACGCUGAGGAGCGAAAGCUAGGGGAGCAAACAGGAUUAGAUACCCCCGUAGUCC
rnacentral:rRNA from 1 species